GCAGCCACAUAGUGUUGAAACACCGGUUCCCGUACGAUCACCGAAGUUAAGCAACGCCGAGCCUGUCCACUACCUAGAUGGGUGACCACUUGGGAAUAGCAGGUGCUGCAAG